GCUCCGUGGCAGGUACAAAGGAGUGAAACUGUGGGUUUGGUUGGUGCUGAGAGUCAGUCUGUGAUCCUGGAGGCAGAAUCACCGGGACCCGCUUUCAAGAGGUUCUGGGAGGAAGCUGCAAACCGACGGAGGUGGUAUCGGAGGUGUGCUAGAGACUGGAAGUUCUGGUAACUAGGGAAGCAGGCAAGGUAACCAGAGACAUGGAUGUGGGAGCAGUUGCUAGGGAGAGGCAACAGCAUCCUGCCAGAUGGUGCCUGACAUCUCCACGGCAUGGAACUCUUUUUUAACAGACUGAGCUUGUUCUUGCAGCACAGGGUCUUAGAACUGCCGUCCGGGGAAGGCAGUUCAGAGCCCAAGAGCCCUUUGAAAUGGACAGGCUUUGGUGGCUACCGAAGCAAGGACUGUGACCAGAAGGCAACACGAAACUGGAGUCUGUGAGCAGACAACAUAGAGAAGCUUCCAACAGAUUCCACGAAGUGGGAGAGUAUGCUAAAACAGAAGACAUCAAAUACAACUUCAUACACUUUCUAGUCCUCCACUGUGGUGCUCAGACACUCUGCAUCUGAGGCUGUGCCAGUCCGUAGUCAUUCAUAAAGCACAGAUCCUGCCAUCCAGAUCCUUGCCAUACGAGCCAAUGGUGUCUUGCCAUUGCCAAAGAUGUUUCUUAGGCUUUAAUGAGCUUCCUAAUGGAACACGCCAAGCCCAGUGACUUUGAUUCUGAAAGAGGUCUUUGGAAACAAAAUGAAACGAGGUGGCUUAAUUUAAAUCUUUAUUUUUUAGCUGUAAAACUCUCAUAAGAAAUAAAUUCUUACCUUUUUCCAAGGACUUACGGUGGCAAACAUUUGAAAAUAUCACAUCUCCUGGCACCAACACCCUUGAAGUGAACUUGAGGGCCCAGCCCCAAUUUCAGGCUGCAUCUGUAAGGGUGGUAAUGAUUACUUGGGCCCUAUUGAAAUAAGAGGAAUACAGUUGCUAUGGAGAAGGUUUAACAUGUUGGUUCCUCUCUGGGAUUCCAAGUAUAACAAACAAACAGGCAGAAAGAUAAAAGAGCUUUCCAGGCUGUGGAGGGGUCAGGAAAACAGAAAUUGUUAUCUGCUUUUGAGAUUGAAACAGGCAAACAGGGGACCAUUCUUAUUCUUGGCAAAAGGCUCUCACUCGUAAAAUAGGUUUUUCUCAGAGAUCCAUCUGAACCCUCCUAACAUGGGACCUUAGAUCUGACAGCUUCUGGGGCAGAAGAAAUAUCUGCGAGACUGGUGUGGUGGAACGGCCGUGGCUGGGAGCUGAGUUGCAGCCGGCCACCUCCGUUCAUUCCCUGCCUUCUUCCUGGAAUGUGUAGGAGGACACAUGAGGCUUG
rnacentral:lncRNA from 1 species